GCGUAAUAGCUCACUGGUCGAGUCGGCCUGCGCGGAAGAUGUAACGGGGCUAAACCAUGCAGCGCAGCUGCGGCAGCGACACUAUGUGUUGUUGGGUAGGGGAGCGUUCUGUAAGCCUGUGAAGGUGGCCUGUGAGGGUUGCUGGAGGUAUCAGAAGAGCGAAUGCUGACAUAAGUAACGAUAAAGCGGGUGAAAAGCCCGCUCGCCGGAAGACCAA
rnacentral:rRNA from 1 species